UUGGAGGGAAGUCUGGUGCCAGCAGCCGCGGUAAUUCCAGCUCCAAUAGCGUAUAUUAAAGUUGUUGCAGUUAAAAGCUCGUAGUUGAAUUUCGGGAUUAGUACGCUGGUCGUGCCUUCGGUACGUACUGGUGUUACUGAUUCCUACCUUCUGACGAACCAUCAUGUCAUUAAUUUGGUGUGGUGGGGAAUCAGGACUGUUACUUUGAAAAAAUUAGAGUGUUUAAAGCAGGCUCGCGCUUGAAUACAUUAGCAUGGAAUAAUGAAAUAGGACGUUGAUCCUAUUUUGUUGGUUUCUAGGAUUGACGUAAUGAUUAAUAGGGAUAGUUGGGGGCAUUAGUAUUCAAUUGUCAGAGGUGAAAUUCUUGGAUUUAUUGAAGACUAACUACUGCGAAAGCAUUUGCCAAGGAUGUUUUCAUUAAUCAAGAACGAAAGUUAGGGGAUCGAAGACGAUCAGAUACCGUCGUAGUCUUAACCAUAAACUAUGCCGACUAGGGAUCGGAUGAUGUUAUUUUUAAUGACUCAUUCGGCGCCUUACGGGAAAC
rnacentral:rRNA from 1 species